AGCCGGUAUGGAAGUUCCUGGUAAAUUGGGCAGCUUAACUGUCCUUGUGCUAGGGAUACUGCUCUACUAGAGGGCGGGAGAGGUCUGAGGUACUACAGGGGUAGGGGUGAAAUCUUAUAAUCCUUGUAGGACCACCAGUGGCGAAAGCGUCAGACUGGAACGCGCCUGACGGUGAGGGACGAAAGCCAGGGGAGCGAACCGGAUUAGAUACCCGGGUAGUCCUGGCCGUAAACGAUGCGCACUAGGUGAUGGUGCGGCUAUGAGCCGCAUCAGUGUCGUAGGGAAACCGUUAAGUGUGCCGCCUGGGAAGUACGGUCGCAAGGCUUAAACUUAAAGGAAUUGGCGGGGGAGCACCACAAGGGGUGAAGCCUGCGGUUCAAUUGGACUCAACGCCGGGCAACUUACCAGGGGAGACAGCAGAAUGAGGGUCAGGUUGACGACCUUACCUGACAAGCUGAGAGGAGGUGCAUGGCCGUCGCCAGUUCGUGCUGUGAGGUAUCCUGUUAAGUCAGGCAACGAACGAGACCCGCACCUUUAUUUGCCAGCAAGAAGUCACGACUUCGUUGGGAACGAUAAAGGGACCGCCGUCGAUAAGACGGAGGAGGGAGCGGGCAAAGGCAGGUCAGUAUGCCCCGAAACCCCUGGGCCACACGCGGGCUGCAAUGGUGCGAACAAUGGGCUGUGACUCCGAAAGGAGAAACCAAUCCCGAAAUCGCAUCUCAGUGGGGAUUGUCGACUGUAACUCGUUGACAUGAACG
rnacentral:rRNA from 1 species